GAUGAACGCUGGCGGCGUGCCUAACACAUGCAAGUCGAACGGGAAUCUUCCGGAUUCUAGUGGCGGACGGGUGAGUAACGCGUAAGAAUCUAACUUCGAGGACUGGGACAACAGUUGGAAACGACUGCUAAUACCCGAUGUGCCGCAAGGUUGAAACCUAAUUGGCCUGGAGAAGAGCUUGCGUCUGAUUAGCUAGUUGGUGGGGUAAGAGCCUACCAAGGCGACGAUCAGUAGCUGGUCUGAGAGGAUGAGCAGCCACACUGGGACUGAGACACGGCCCAGACUCCUACGGGAGGCAGCAGUGGGGGAAUUUUCCGCAAUGGGCGAAAGCCUGACGGAGCAAUACCGCGUGAGGGACGAAGGCUUUUUGGGUCGUAAAACCUCUUUUUAUUAGGGGAAGAUAAUGACGGUACCUAAUGAAUAAGCAUCGGCUAACUCUGUGCCAGCAGCCGCGGUAAU
rnacentral:rRNA from 1 species